rnacentral:rRNA from 1 species
UACGGAGGAUCCAAGCGUUAUCCGGAUUUAUUGGGCUUAAAGGGUGCGUAGGCGGCCUGUUAAGUCAGGGGUGAAAGACGGUAGCUCAACUAUCGCAGUGCCCUUGAUACUGAUGGGCUUGAAUGUACUAGAGGUAGGCGGAAUGUGACAAGUAGCGGUGAAAUGCAUAGAUAUGUCACAGAACACCAAUUGCGAAGGCAGCUUACUGUGGUAUGAUUGACGCUGAGGCACGAAAGCGUGGGGAUCAAACAGG